AUACUUACCUGGACGGGGUCAAUGGGUGAUCAAGAAGGCCUAUGGCCUAGAUCAGUGACCUCCAUUGCACUUUGGAGGGGUGCUGGUCUAAGGUCUUCCCAAGAGGAAGAGCCUACGUCAUAAUUUGUGGCAGUGGGGGCCUGCGUUCGCGCGGCCCCUCC
rfam:Jatropha curcas cultivar GZQX0401 scaffold502_104, whole genome shotgun sequence.